UGAUUGCGGGAAGGAAGUGUGGUAUUGCUCCAGGGGCUCAAUUGGCGGUGGCCUCAGUUUUAACCGAAAAAUCUUC
rnacentral:tRNA from 1 species